UACAGAGGGUGCAAGCGUUAAUCGGAAUUACUGGGCGUAAAGCGUGCGUAGACGGUAGCGUAAGUCGGGUGUGAAAGCCCCGGGCUCAACCUGGGAAUUGCAUUCGAGACUGCUCUGCUAGGGUGCGGAAGAGGGAAGCGGAAUUUCCGGUGUAGCGGUGAAAUGCGUAGAUAUCGGAAGGAACACCCGUGGCGAAAGCGGCUCACUGGACCAUAACUGACGCUGAGGCACGAAAGCUAGGGGAGCAAACAGG
rnacentral:rRNA from 1 species